CAGGAACGCUGGCGGCGUGCUUAACACAUGCAAGUCGAACGCCACGCAAGGGGAGUGGCAGACGGGUGAGUAACGCGUGGGAAUCUACCCAUCUCUACGCAACAACGCAUGGAAACGUGUGCUAAUACCGUAUAGGUCUGUCGGGACCAAGUUGUAUCGGAGUUGGCGGCGCGCGAGUUGGAUUAGCUAGGUGGUGGGGUAAAGGCCUCCCAAGGCGACGAUCCAUAGCUGGUUUGGGGGGAUGAUGAGCCACACUGGGACUGAGGAGACGGCCCAAACUCCUACGAGUGGGAGCAGUGGGGAAUAUUAGACGAUGGGCGCAAGCCUAAUCCAGCCAUGCCGCGUGAGUGAUUAAGGGCCUAGGAUUGUAAAGCUCUUUCACCAGUGAAGAUAAUGACGGUAACCGAAGAAGAAGCCCCGGCUAACUACGUGCCAGCAGCCGCAGUAAGAC
rnacentral:rRNA from 1 species